UGUGGUUGAAAGGCUACUGGACGGGUUUCGGGUUUUCAAUACGACAAGAUUAAUAUUAUUGGUGUGGGAAGACAAACAUGGAUAAGAGUCGCAUGAUGAACAUGGGUUUUCACUAUGACUGGAGAAAACCGUGCUCAUUUUUUAUGGAGAGGGUUAUUCUUGGGAGGGUGGGCUGUCAUAGAACAGACAUGGAGUCUUUUUGAAUGCGUCUAUUGUCAUAGUAAGCUUUAGUAAUCUGUCCCUGCAUUACCUUUUCCACAGUUUGUCGAUUUUGGCACUCCCAAAAUCCUUAUAGUGGCGUGCUUGUACUUAAUAGGAUUAUUGGAAUUAUAUAUAAUAUAUGUUGUUUGAAUGUGUCAGUUGCAGUGGUUUUCUUUUUAACAAUUGACGUAUUACUUGAGAAUUGCAAAUUAUGGAUUUUAGGGUGUCCAAGAUGUAGUCAUGGCAUUGGAAGGAAAGUGUCCAGAACUCUUUAUAUUGAAGGGAAAGUCGGAGUUGCAAUUUUUUUUUUAUUGUAAUUUUGAAUUUAAUUUAUAUUUUUAAAGAUUAAUAUUGCUGAAUUGAA
rnacentral:misc_RNA from 1 species